UUUGGCUAAAGGCAGGGGUGAAGUGAAAGCCUCACCAUAAGUGCACGAAGCUCUAGGAGGGCGAUUGAACUCAUUUGACAUUUAGUUUAGUUUUUUAUAAUGCUUUUGCAUUAAUUCCAUUCUUAAACGAGUGGAAUGUAAUGUCUGUGACCCAUGAAUGGAAGCGUGUUGGUUCUAGGGAGGAUGCUAAUUUCACGCUCAGGAUCCUAUUCCUGGCCACUGUAACCAACAGUGUAGGGUUUAUUACAGAAUAUUGAAUAUUAUGAAAAAUUAAUAACAUGUGACAAAUAAUUGUUACUUAUUGUUAUUAUUGUUGCAAUGAGUUCUGGACUACCUAGAAAGAUCAUAUGGAGUCUGUGCAAAGAAAAUAUUCUAUUAUCAUCAGGAUAAAGCAAAUCAAAUGACAAAUAUGGACAUUGGAAAAAAAAAAAAUUAUGUAUAAAAAAAGAAAAUAGCAUUGCAAAGGGGAGGCAUAGAGUCUUGUCAUCUCACAAGAGUGUUUGUUACAUCCAGUGUACAAGCCACACAUUGCAAUUGCCAUAAAGCAUCCAGAUUCAAUGGAUUAAUGUAUUAUUCAUGUGUCCAUCCUGGAGACCUCUCGCAAGCAUGGGUGAUGGGUAGUAAACUACCCGUGUGGACAGAUGGAAGGCCUGCUCGUGAAUGAGCUUCCUGAAACCCCACUGAAUUGCUUUAGCUGCAGUGACAACAGCUGUGAGCAGGUUAGGGGAAAACCUGGACCAGUAUGUCACCGAUAUCCUCUUCCCAAAUGACCAAAGACCACACCUCAAAGUCCUUAUAGAUGCUGUGAGAAAAAUCAAGAAGAUGGUUAAGAAUGCUGAACCUCCUGCCUCGGAUACUGUGCGGCGUGAGAUUGAAGGCAAGUUAGAGAAGUGCAGAAAUCAGCAAAACAAUCCAAAUUCAUCCCAGUACCGGGCAAACUACUCAGAAUGGGAUGAUGAUGAGGUGAUGAUGGCUGCUUCCCCAAUGCAGGAAGACACAGCUCUUGGAGUAGAGAGAAUACGAUCACCAUCAAACUAUUAACUUACUGUUUUUUUUUUGUUUUUUUUUCUCAUUAAUCAUUUACUGGAUUGUUUGUGUAAAAUGUGAAAGUAAUUUUCUGAAAGUUAAAGGAAAACCUUUGGUAUUUUCUAUCUUAAGUCGAGAGAGAGGGAUGAAAAAAUUAGAUAUAUUUUGAAAUGACAUUUUUAUUUUAAACUCCUAGUGAAAAGAUAGAAAAAUAAAGAAAAUGGAAUAGCACAUUAAACGUUUAGUUUGGUA